UACGUAGGUCCCGAGCGUUGUCCGGAUUUAUUGGGCGUAAAGCGAGCGCAGGUGGUUUAUUAAGUCUGGUGUAAAAGGCAGUGGCUCAACCAUUGUAUGCAUUGGAAACUGGUAGACUUGAGUGCAGGAGAGGAGAGUGGAAUUCCAUGUGUAGCGGUGAAAUGCGUAGAUAUAUGGAGGAACACCGGUGGCGAAAGCGGCUCUCUGACCUGUAACAGACACUGAGGCUCGAAAGCGUGGGGAGCAAACAGG
rnacentral:rRNA from 1 species